CACUUCUCCCAGGAACCGGUCAGAGUAAACAGAAACAGAACCUGCCCCUUAGGUCAGUAUUUCACAAGCCACUCUUCCAUGGCUCAUUAAUUUGCAAUUGGCUAAACUAGCAUUCUAAAAGCCUAAAGAAAAUACGAAAAGAAAAUGAAGGAUUUAUUUGACCUACCUCUGCAUUCGCUACUGCAUGUAUAUAUCAUUGAUUCUUGAUUAGCUGAGCUCGAUUAGGCAAGAAAUAAACAAAUCCCAGGUAGUAUUAUUUUCAUUUUAGUCAACUAAUGAGGCUCUUCAUACAUCUUUUACCAGAGUUGAUAAUUGUUAAAUUGAAUUCUUUGAGUUUUCUCUCCCAACUCCUAGGGUAAUGGGGCAGAAAAAAAGAUAAAUGGAGAAGAAAAACAAUAGCCCACAUAGUCUACAGACUGGAUAAUCACCCCAUUAAUAAUUUCUAAUAGGGGUCUCUGGGGCUGGUCAUAAGAGUAUCUCUAUGGUGGGCUGAAAACUGGCCCCUAUGAGAUGUCUGUGUAUGUACUCAUCAGUGGGACCUGUAAAUAUUCUCUUAUAUGGGAAAAAUGUCUUAGAGUCAUGAUUAAAUUAUGGCUAUUGAGCCUGGGAGAUUAUUCUGGAUUUUCCAGGUAGGCCCUCAAAGCAGUCCCGCAUAUCUAUAAAAGGGAGGCAGAAGGAAACUUGACACACACAUAGAGGAGAAAGUGAUGGGAAGAGUUGAACAGAGAGAUGUGGGGAUGUUGACCUUGAGAACUGGAGUGAUGUAGCCACAAGCCAAGGAAUGUCAGAGGCACUAAAAACUAAAAGAAGCCAAGAGGGCCUAGAAACUAGAGCUUUUGGAAGGAGGGGGUUCUGCUGACCCUUGAUUUUAGCCCAGUGAUAAAAAUUUUAGACUUCUGGCCUCCAAAAGAAUGAGAAAACACGGUUCUAUUGUUACAAGCCACCAAGUUUGUGGUAAUUUGUUACUGUAGCCUUAGGAAACUCUAAUAUAAUGACAUUUGGAAGUGGGGACUUUGGGAGAUGACUGGAUUUCAGUUUGGUCAUAAGAGUGGGGCCCUCCUGAUGGGAUUAGUGCCCUUAUAAGAAGAGGAGAGAGGAGAGCUCUCUCCCUGGAAGCACAUGCCUGAGGAAAGGCUGAGAGAGGACACAGUGAGAAGACAGCCGCCUGCAAGCCAGGAAGGGAGUCCUCACCAAGAACCAAAUCUGCCAGCACCUGAUCUUGAACUCUUCAGCCUCCAGAACAGUGAGAAAAUAGAUGACAUCUGUAUAAUGCGUAAGAGUGUGAAUCUAACAAGUGUCUUUCCACAGAUGUGGCAUUUUGUUAUAGCAUUUUGAACUAAUACAAUUAUACUAAGGGUCCCCGAAGCAGGACAAGGAUGUAAGGGCUGCCUUUGAAGGCAGCAAGAGGAAAAACGGAGUUACUUCCCCUUGUAAGUGGCUGCUUCUCAAAUAAGGUGCAGAGGGUGAAGGUCCUCAGAAACACAAGCCUGCAUGGGGUGCCCAGGGAGGCCCAGAGAAGGCAAGAUGCCUGCUCUCCAUCUCAAAGUGGAAACUGAGAGCAUUCACAUGACCACUCAGGCUCUGACACUGAAGACCUUGGUGGUGACUAUGGUUGAGUUAAACAGUGGUUCCUGCCCCACUUUCUGGGGACACACAAGGACCACCCACUCCUGUGUAAUUCUAGGAGAACAGCCUCUCAUGGCCGAGAUGGGAUUUCCCACCUGCUUGGUGGCAGUGGGGGCUCAGGGUCUGGGCUAAGUGAAUCUCAGCAGAGUAAAGAAGUGUGAUAUUUUGCACACCUCAAUUUGGGGAUGUAGAUUUCUACCUACUUCAACAACCAUCCAUCUCACUAUAUGCCCUGUGCUCCAACUUCCUCCAUCUACCUUGUAUUGUUCAAACCCUCCCACAGCUCACCAGACUGGGUCUACCCAGAGAUCUAACCUCUUCCCCAGAUCCCAUACAUUUUUUUAAGACUUGGCUAGAAUCUCAUCUUCUCUAAGAAGCCUUCCUAGGCAUUCCCAGUCUGAAUUAACCUCUCCUUUCUUUAUACAUUCCAAGUCUCUUUUGCACUUACCACUCCUUGCCUGGCAGGGUGUAAAUGUCUAACAAGUGUUCUUCCAGACUGUGAAUUCCUGAGGACCAGGUAGGUGGACUGCUGGAAUCUGCCCUUGAGCCCUCUCUCCACCUCAGAUCCCACCACCCUCUCCCCACUUCCCCCAACACUCAGCAAAGAGGGUUUUCAGUGAUUAUUGAAUUUAACCUAAUCACGAGCUCUAGUCAAUCAGAAGAAACAGGAAGAUAAUGGAGAUGAAGUCAUCAGAAUAGGCUUUUUGGAGGAGACAGACCUUAGUUUGGCUGCCCCAGGAGAGGUGAGUUUGUUCUUCUGAACCCCCUGGAUAACACUUUGCAAACAGGGUAGCACUCUGAGGGCCUUGUGAAAAAGGUAGGGGACUUCUUGAUAAGCUUCCUCCCUCCCAAGGAGUGAUUCACCCAGAGAAGAAUCUGACUGAACAAGUUCUUUUCAUACAUGAAAAAAGAACUCUCAUUAACUUGAGCUUUAGCAACCCAGAUUUUGAAACAGUAAUAAUACCCAACAUGUGAACGGUGCUUUCCUGUUUAAAGAGCAAUUUCACAUCCUGAAAACCUGUUUUAUCCUAACACCAUCUUUGGAGGUAUGGAUCAAUCCCAAACAAAUGAAGAAAUAAAAUCAGAGAGAGGUAAUAAUUUGUCUCCAACUCAGGUUUUUUAAUUUUUUCCUCCAUUAAACCACAUUUCUCUGAAGGGCACCAUCAAAAUCAGAGUGUCAAACAUCAUUUAGCUGCAGACCCAUCUUAUGCUUAGACUCCCUCUAAACCUUGAUAAUAAGGUGGAAAUCAUGCUUUAUUAUACAAAUUAGCAGUGUGAAAAAGAUUCAAUGGAGAAUUUUUAAAUUACUUAAGUAAAUACACUUGAGCAGUUUUUUCCUACAGAAGCAGGAUGACUGUGAAAUAAAAAUAAACCAGAGGUAUCAGUGAUUUAAUCAUAAGCCAGUGGUAUUGAAGAAUAUUAAUUAGCCAAUGAAUUGUGACAAUUACACCUCAUCCUUGUUUGUUUGCUAAGGCCUGCCCUCAAGUGAUCUUUAUCAGACACCACUUGAUUAGCCUGACUUGAGUUUGUAUGUGCUUGAAAGCAAUAAAACUCUAUUUCUUUAAAGUCUAUAACUCAAACUUUUUAUUGACUUAGUCUGCUUUCUCACCCAAAUAAUUAAAAAAAAAAUGUGACCGUGGAUUGCUUUUUUGUUGUUGUUGUUAGACUUUGCUCUGAGAAAGAAGCUAUACGUGAUGAACUUUAUCAGGAAAAGUUCAAAUCCUCAGCUUUCAUCAAAAAAUACAGACUCUCUGCCCGAUGCAAUAGAACUGAACUGUAUAAUCACCUUCCUCGUCUAAAGAAAAUUCAAGGGCCAAAAACAUCACAUGCCAUGAAUUAUAAAAGAGCCAAAUCUUGGUUUUAUAAGAUUUCAGAAGAAAGCACAGAAGGGCAAAGAAUAUUUUUUUGUGACACAUAGAAAUAAAACAUAACUUGUGCCAACUUACAAAAGGUGGUUGAGCAGAAAUGAUAACUCUUUACAGCCUCUGACUCUCUGGUGGACAGUGACACCUCCCUGGCUACAGAUUGCUUUGCCAGCAUUACAACAGGGCAAUGAUUAAAAUCCAGUUUUCUUGGAAGGCUUCAUUUCUAUGGCGAGUAUUAACCUUUGCAUGCUUUGCAGGCUGGGAUAACUUUUGUUUUCUUGAAAAGAGACAUAAAUGUACUCAACUUGCUUGGGAAAGAGUGAAGCCAGAUCUUAAUUGUUACCGCUUCUGUGGAAGGAAACACUCUUGCUUCUCCUUUUAUAUGAGAGA
rnacentral:lncRNA from 1 species